ACUCCUACGGGAGGCAGCAGUGGGGAAUAUUGCACAAUGGGCGCAAGCCUGAUGCAGCAACGCCGCGUGAGCGAAGAAGGUCUUCGGAUCGUAAAGCUCUUUUCUUAGGGAAGAAAACUGACGGUACCUAAGGAAUAAGCACCGGCUAAAUACGUGCCAGCAGCCGCGGUAAUACGUAUGGUGCAAGCGUUAUCCGGAAUCACUGGGCGUAAAGGGUGCGUAGGCGGUUUUGCAAGUCAGAAGUGAAAGGCUACGGCUCAACCGUAGUAAGCUUUUGAAACUGCAAGACUAGAGUGCAGGAGAGGAAAGUGGAAUUCCUAGUGUAGAGGUGAAAUUCGUAGAGAUUUGUAGGAAUGCCGAUGACGAAGGUAGCUUACUGGACAAAUACUGACGCUGAAGCGCGAAAGCUAGGGGAGCAAACAGGAUUAGAUACCCUGGUAGCUACGAG
rnacentral:rRNA from 1 species